GAUGAACGCUAGCGGCAGGCCUAAUACAUGCAAGUCGGACGGGAUCUAUCGGAGAGCUUGCUCGAAGAUAGUGAGAGUGGCGCACGGGUGCGUAACGCGUGAGCAACCUACCCAUAUCAGGGGGAUAGCCCGGAGAAAUCCGGAUUAAGACCGCAUAACACUGUGAUUUGGCAUCAUGUUACAGUUAAAUAUUUAUAGGAUAUGGAUGGGCUCGCGUGACAUUAGCUAGUUGGUGAGGUAACGGCUCACCAAGGCGAUGAUGUCUAGGGGCUCGGAGAGGAGAAUCCCCCACACUGGUACUGAGACACGGACCAGACUCCUACGGGAGGCAGCAGUAAGGAAUAUUGGUCAAUGGGCGGAAGCCUGAACCAGCCAUGCCGCGUGCAGGACGACUGCCCUAUGGGUUGUAAACUGCUUUUGUCGAGGAAUAAACCUAUCUACGUGUAGAUAGCUGAACGUACUCGAAGAAUAAGGAUCGGCUAACUCCGUGCCAGCCGCCGCGGUAA
rnacentral:rRNA from 1 species